rnacentral:lncRNA from 1 species
CCACGGUUGCUGAGGUUAGCCGCCACCGCAGAUCUAGUUGGACUUUAUAGUGAGCAGAAAGGAGAGUGUUUAUUUUGAAAAUACAAGGCGGGAGUUUGGAGGGACACUGCAGUAGCCAUGUUUUUAUUAUUUGGGGGAGGCGAGGGAAUACAAAAUUUGAAGAUCCCGCUUUCAAGUUCCUGGGCGCGAAAUGAAAAUUUGGUAAGUUGCACUUGCUGCGGGAUCAUUGACAAGAUUGUGCGCUCUUAUCGGACCCAUUUGACAGCGAAGCUGGGUGCAUUUCAUCUUGCGUCCAACAUAGGCAGGAGACGAAUAUCUGGAAGAGGCCCACGCCUUAGUGAACCUGGGUGCAUUUCCAG